UACGGAGGAUCCGAGCGUUAUCCGGAAUUAUUGGGUUUAAAGGGUGCGUAGGCGGCUUUCUAAGUCAGUGGUGAAAGACGGUGGCUCAACCAUCGCAGUGCCGUUGAUACUGGGGAGCUUGAAUGUACUUGAGGUAGGCGGAAUGUGGCAAGUAGCGGUGAAAUGCAUAGAUAUGCCACAGAACACCGAUUGCGAAGGCAGCUUACUAAGGUAUGAUUGACGCUGAGGCACGAAAGCGUGGGGAUCGAACAGG
rnacentral:rRNA from 1 species